rnacentral:rRNA from 1 species
GGGAAGGAUGACCAGAUGGAAGCUCUUUCUUGAUUUUAUGGGGGUGGUGCAUGGCCGUUUUAGUUGGUGGAGUGAUCUGUCUGGUAAUUCGGAUAACGAACGAGACCUUAGCCUGUAAAUAGGGUCGGGAACUUUGGUUUCCGUACCACUUCUUAGAGGGACUUUGCGUGUCUAACGCAAGGAAGUUUGAGGCAAUAACAGGUCUGUGAUGCCCUUAGAUGUUCUGGGCUGCACGCACGCUACACUGAUGCAUUCAACGAGUUUAACCAUGGCCGGCAGGUCUUGGUAAUCUUCUGAGUGUGCAUCGUGAUGGGGAUAGAUUAUUGCAAUUAUUAAUCUUCAACGAGGAAUGCCUAGUAGGCGCAAGUCAGCAGCUUGUGCCGAUUACGUCCCUGCCCUUUGUACACACCGCCCGUCGUAGCGACCGAUCGGAGAGUCCUGUGAACUAGUUGGAUCGCCCAUUCUGCCUUUUGGUGGCUUGGUGCGCUAAGAUCUGUGAACAGGGUGCUCUAGAGGACGUUCAAGUCGUAACACGGUUUCCGUAGGUGAACCUGC